UGGGCGUAAAGCGCAUGCAGGUGGUUUGUUAAGUCAGAUGUGAAAGCCCGGGGCUCAACCUCGGAAUUGCAUUUGAAACUGGCAAACUAGAGUACUGUAGAGGGGGUAGAAUUUCAGGUGUAGCGGUGAAAUGCGUAGAGAUCUGAAGGAAUACCGGUGGCGAAGGCGGCCCCCUGGACAGAUAACUGACACUCAGAUGCGAAAGCGUGGGGAGCAAACAGGAUUAGAUACCCUGGUAG
rnacentral:rRNA from 1 species